AUUCUUCUGUGGUUCACAAGCACAGUGAUUAGGUUGUCACGUGCAUGUGUGUGUGUGUGUGUGUGUGUGACGUGUUUCUCUCAGACCUUGUUAAGACAUCAGCAUGUUAGCCAUGUGACA
rnacentral:snoRNA from 1 species